rnacentral:misc_RNA from 1 species
GAUGAGGAACGUAGCGAAAUGCGAUAAGUAAUGUGAAUUGCAGAAUUCAGUGAAUCAUCGAAUCUUUGAACGCACAUUGCGCCCGCUAGUAUUCUGGCGGGCAUGCCUGUCCGAGCGUCAUUUCAACCCUCAAGCCCCUCCGGGGGCCUGGCGUUGGGGAUCGGCCCCGCUCCGGCGGCCGGCCCCGAAAUGUAGUGGCGGUCUCGCCGCUGCCUCCUCUGCGUAGUAGAAACACCUCGCAUUGGGACGCGGCGGGCCCACGCCGUUAACCAGAUGAAUUUUUUCAAGGUUGACCUCGGAUCAGGUAGGAAUACCCGCUGAACUUAAGCAUAUCAAUAAGCGGAGGA